UGUUUUGGGGAGGACUAUAGAAGAA
rnacentral:piRNA from 1 species